rnacentral:lncRNA from 1 species
AUUUUCCAUUUUCUUAAUUGACAUUGGCAGUUCUGCAAUUUUUAAUCUACAGCUCGUUAUUACAAAUAAAUAUUAGUUUUUUUUCUUAAUUAGGAAUAACUAUGGAUGGUUUCACAUAUUUUUUGGUUCUUUUACAAAACUUAUAUUCACACGAUCAAGUUUCUAGAAGAUCCUCGAGGACGUUUGGAAGUUGUGAAUUCAGUAGGACGUCGAGACUAUUUCCGUUAUGACAUCACCCAGCCAGAAUCAAUUAUUGCAACACUAUAUUGCAACACUGCUUGUAUCUACUGAUUUGUAUCUUACAAUAUUUUGUAUUUAAUGUAUUGAUUAUUCCUAGAAAAAAAUGGUUUGUUGCUUUGUUAUGUCAUCUUUUAUUUCAUAUUUUAUCUUUUAAAAAUAUUUUAUAUUGUUC